GGGGGGGGGGGGGGGGGGGGGGGGGGGGGGGGGGGGGGGGGGGGGGGGGGGAAGAGGGGGGGCUGACGGGGGGCGGGGGGCGGACGGGGGAGGAGUACAUCGGAGUCUGCUUGGUCGUGGGGGGUCACGGAGAGGGACGUACGCUAAUACCGCAUACGACCUACGGGGGAAAGCAGGGGAUCGUUGGACCUGGCGCGCGUGAGUGAGCAGAUUUCGGCUUAGCUAGUUGGCGGGGUAAAGGCCCACCCAGGCGACGAUCCGUAGCUGGUCUGAGAGGAUGGUCAGCCACACUGGAACUGAGACACGGUCCAGACUCCUACGGGAGGCAGCAGUGGGGAAUAUUGGACAAUGGGCGCAAGCCUGAUCCAGCCAUACCGCGUGGGUGAAGAAGGCCUUCGGGUUGUAAAGCCCUUUUGUUGGGAAAGAAAAGCAGCAGGUUAAUACCCCGCUGUUCUGACGGUACCCAAAGAAUAAGCACCGGCUAACUUCGUG
rnacentral:rRNA from 1 species